rnacentral:rRNA from 1 species
GUGCCAGCAGCCGCGGUAAGACGAACCGUGCGAACGUUGUUCGGAAUCACUGGGCUUAAAGGGCGCGUAGGCGGUCGAUCAAGUCCGGGGUGAAAUCUUUCGGCUUAACCGGAAAAGUGCCUUGGAUACUGAUUGGCUGGAGGGAGGUAGGGGGAGCUGGAACUUCCAGUGGAGCGGUGAAAUGCGUUGAUAUUGGAAGGAACUCCGGUGGCGAAAGCGAGCUCCUGGACCUCUUCUGACGCUGAUGCGCGAAAGCUAGGGGAGCAAACGGGAUUAGAUACCCCCGUAGUCC